GAUGGUAAAAUUAUUCUUAGUGUAAGGAAACAGACCUUGACUUUUCAACUACACAGCUGGUUGCUUUGACAGCGUUCCAAGCCGCCAUUUGGCCAAACGAGUUUUUGAAGUAAAUCAAAGCAAAUUAAAGUAAGCAAGGCGUGCAAAGCAAGCCGGCAUUGGGCCAGCGCCUUUACACUCAUAGCACACAUCAGACAAAAAGAAAUAAAAAAAUGGAAGAAAAGCUCAUAGAGGAAACUAAAUUGCACCCGUGUCUUUUUGACAAAAACUGUCAUCUUUUUAGAAAUAAAAUGAUGACGGAGCGAGCGUGGCAGGCAGCAGCGAUUUCCACGGGAGCGUCAGUGGAACAAAGUAAGCUACGCUGGAAAUCACAGAGCGAUAGAUUUGUGCGUGAGGUGGCGACACAAAAGUCCAAUGCGGGGUCCGCUGCAGACGAAAACACAGAAUGGUGCUACCUAAAGUCCACGCAGUUUCCAAUGAAACACGGUGCUACU